rnacentral:rRNA from 1 species
UACGUAGGUGACCAGCGUUGUCCGGAUUUACUGGGCGUAAAGGGCGCGUAGGCGGCGUAACAAGUCACUUGUGAAAUCUCCGGGCUUAACCCGGAGUGGCCAAGUGAUACUGUUGUGCUAGAGUGCGGAAGGGGCUACUGGAAUUCUCGGUGUAGCGGUGAAAUGCGUAGAGAUCGGCAGGAACACCCAGGGGGAAACCAGUCGACUGGGCAUCUACUGACGCUGAGGUGCGAGAGCGUGGGGAGCAAACAGG